rnacentral:rRNA from 1 species
CCCUUUGUGAACAUACCUAUAACUGUUGCUUCGGCGGGUAGGGUCUCCGCGACCCUCCCGGCCUCCCGCCUCCGGGCGGGUCGGCGCCCGCCGGAGGAUAACCAAACUCUGAUUUAACGACGUUUCUUCUGAGUGGUACAAGCAAAUAAUCAAAACUUUUAACAACGGAUCUCUUGGUUCUGGCAUCGAUGAAGAACGCAGCGAAAUGCGAUAAGUAAUGUGAAUUGCAGAAUUCAGUGAAUCAUCGAAUCUUUGAACGCACAUUGCGCCCGCCAGCAUUCUGGCGGGCAUGCCUGUUCGAGCGUCAUUUCAACCCUCAAGCUCUGCUUGGUGUUGGGGCCCUACAGCUGAUGUAGGCCCUCAAAGGUAGUGGCGGACCCUCCCGGAGCCUCCUUUGCGUAGUAACUUUACGUCUCGCACUGGGAUCCGGAGGGACUCUUGCCGUAAAACCCCCCAAUUUUCCAAAGGUUGACCUCGGAUCAGGUAGGAAUACCCGCUGAACUUAAGCAUAUC